UAGGGAAUCUUCGGCAAUGGACGGAANNNUGGACCGAGCAACGCCGCGUGAGUGAAGAAGGUUUUCGGAUCGUAAAGCUCUGUUGUAAGAGAAGAACGAGUGUGAGAGUGGAAAGUUCACACUGUGACGGUAUCUUACCAGAAAGGGACGGCUAACUACGUGCCAGCAGCCGCGGUAAUACGUAGGUCCCGAGCGUUGUCCGGAUUUAUUGGGCGUAAAGCGAGCGCAGGCGGUUAGAUAAGUCUGAAGUUAAAGGCUGUGGCUUAACCAUAGUACGCUUUGGAAACUGUUUAACUUGAGUGCAAGAGGGGAGAGUGGAAUUCCAUGUGUAGCGGUGAAAUGCGUAGAUAUAUGGAGGAACACCGGUGGCGAAAGCGGCUCUCUGGCUUGUAACUGACGCUGAGGCUCGAAAGCGUGGGGAGCAAACAGGAUUAGAUACCCUGGUAGUCCACGCCGUNNCGAUGAGUGCUAGGUGUUAGACCCUUUCCGGGGUUUAGUGCCGCAGCUAACGCAUUAAGCACUCCGCCUGGGGAGUACGACCGCAAGGUUG
rnacentral:rRNA from 1 species